CAGAAAUCAGUGUGGCCACUAGGUUCUGC
rnacentral:piRNA from 1 species